UAAGGAAUAUUGCGCAAUGGGGGAAACCCUGACGCAGCAACGCCGCGUGGAGGAUGACACUUUUCGGAGCGUAAACUCCUUUUAUCAGGAAAGAAUAAUGACGGUACCUGAUGAAUAAGCACCGGCUAACUCCGUGCCAGCAGCUGCGGUAAUACGGGGGGUGCAAGCGUUACUCGGAAUCACUGGGCGUAAAGGACGCGUAGGCGGAUUAUCAAGUCUUUUGUGAAAUCUAGUGGCUUAACCACUAAACUGCUUAGGAAACUGAUAGUCUAGAGUAGGGGAGAGGUAGAUGGAAUUCUUGGUGUAGGGGUAAAAUCCGUAGAGAUCAAGAAGAAUACCCAUUGCGAAAGCGAUCUGCUGGAACCUAACUGACGCUGAGGCGUGAAAGCGUGGGUAGCAAACAGG
rnacentral:rRNA from 1 species